UUAUUAUUGCAAUCCAAUGAAUAAUAAUAAUGAUAACAGUAGUAAUUAUUUUUCAUUGGGAGAGCUUGGGAAUUAUUACAAUAACAAUAAUGGGAGCAAUUUCCAUCUUCAAGUUCCUGAGGACUCCAUGAAUGUAGAGGUGAGUGAGAAUAAUAGUUUGCAGCCUUGUUUUGAAGAAACUGAUCAGUUGAUAAAAUUACCUGAAGAAGAAGCUGCUCAUUAUCAAACUGAGAUUAAUUGCAAGAAAAGAUCAAGAGGAGAAUUUGGGGAUCAUCAUGUACAAAAGGGAAGGAACGAGAGGGGAAAGAAAACUCAAAAGCUUACCUCAAGCACCAACACUGAAGAAGAUGGCAAUGGUGGCCUUAGCAGGCAAAGCACAAGCACCUACUGCUCGGAAGACGAAUCCAACGCCUCUCUCGAUCGAAACGGUGGAGCUAAUUAUAACUCGGGGUCAAGUCUGAAUGGGCCGAACAAAUCCCGAGCCAGCAGAGGUUCAGCCACAGAUCCUCAGAGCCUUUAUGCAAGAGUAAGAGACAAUAAUAAUGAACAAACUUUGAGAAAGCUAAGGAAAAAGAAACAUUUGGAAAAAUGAAAAAUCCAUAUUAUUCAUUGUUUGUAAUAAUUAUUAAUGUUCAAAUUUGUUACAGAAAAGAAGAGAAAGAAUCAAUGAGAGGUUGAGAAUCUUACAGAAUCUUGUCCCAAAUGGAACAAAGGUUGAUAUCAGCACAAUGCUUGAGGAAGCUGUUCAAUAUGUGAAGUUUCUACAACUCCAAAUCAAGCUACUAAGCUCUGAUGAUUUAUGGAUGUAUGCUCCGAUUGCUUACAACGGAAUGGAUAUCGGACUUAAUCCGACAACCCCAAAAACAGCAAAAGAGAAAGAAUUAUGAAACGGAGGAGAAGAUAGGGUGUGAUGUAUAAUUAAUAUGUUGAGAAGAAAAGGUUUAAUCUUUUGGGGAAUCUAAUAAUGUGUCUUUUGUAAAACUUCUUGAUAGAUUUUUCUUUUUCAUCAAGUUGGUGAUGAACAAGAGGGUCAUAUGAGAGUUUGGUAGAGCGAAUUCAAUUCAAGGAGUUUUCGAG